rnacentral:rRNA from 1 species
CCUACGGUGGGCAGCAGUGGGGAAUAUUGGACAAUGGGCGAAAGCCUGAUCCAGCCAUGCCGCGUGUGUGAAGAAGGCCUUCGGGUUGUAAAGCACUUUCAGUGGGGAAGAAAGCCUUGGGGCUAAUACCCUCGAGGAAGGACAUCACCCACAGAAGAAGCACCGGCUAACUCCGUGCCAGCAGCCGCGGUAAUACGGAGGGUGCGAGCGUUAAUCGGAAUUACUGGGCGUAAAGCGCGCGUAGGCGGUCUGAUAAGCCGGUUGUGAAAGCCCCGGGCUCAACCUGGGAACGGCAUCCGGAACUGUCAGGCUAGAGUGCAGGAGAGGAAGGUAGAAUUCCCGGUGUAGCGGUGAAAUGCGUAGAGAUCGGGAGGAAUACCAGUGGCGAAGGCGGCCUUCUGGACUGACACUGACGCUGAGGUGCGAAAGCGUGGGUAGCAAACAGGAUUAGAUCCCCAGUAGUC